UUGACCCCUGCACCCCGACUGAGCACUCUCCCAGCCCUGGCGAUGAGGUUUACUCGGCCCAGCACCCUGCAGCACCCGUGUGGGCACAGCCCAGGGGACGCCUGACGCCCGCAUUAGCUGCACCCUGGGGUGAGCAGAAGCCCCUGAGGAGACAAACCGCAGCGCUUGAAGGGAGCGUUUCCUUUUAAUAGUGACUGAACGGUUUCCUGGCUGGCACGGAGCAGCCCGGCCCGAAGCCGCCUUCCCCAGGGAGACGUCCUUCCCCAGUCGCCGCCCCUAACUGUGCAGGAGCGUCCUGGUCCCGCCCUCAGCCCUGCUCGAGAAGGUCGGCCCGCGGGUCACUCUGUGCCUGCCCACACCGGCCUCCAGCUGAGACUCUGGGGUGAAGGGACCCUCAUAUCGCCCCCUGCUGCCCCGGCCCCGGGACCAGAUCAAAGGUGUCACCAGCUGUGCUUUGACGCCACCAGGCGAGCUUCUCGCCAGACUCACCCACAUUCUCGGGGGGCGCCACGGAGCCGCCCUGGGGGCCACGGAGCUGAGCAAGGGGCUGGGUGCACCCCGCACCGUGGACAGGAACUUUGGGGGACAGCGGGGGACAGCGGGGCCACUGGGGCCGGGGGCGUGGCCACGGGGAGUUCAGGACAGGAGGGAGAGAGGGGCUGGCAGGGAGGGGCUGGCAGGGAGGGGCUGGCAGGGAGGGGGCUAAGAGAAGGCCGAGAGGGGCUGGGCGUGAGGCCUCGGGCCAGAGUCCGAUGCUCUGAGCACAGAUCUUGGAGCCCCAGCUCCAUCCCUGGCACUGCCUGGCCCGAGCACUGAGCACAGAGCCUCCGGCAGCCCCGCCAAAACCACAGCGAGGAGGUCUGUAAGGGGCCAGCCAGGGGCACGUGGACACAGCCCAGGUUGGCCCCCGUCCACCUGCUAGAGACAGGAAGUGGGUGUUAGUCCGAGCUGGAGCAGGCCCCUCUCGGGCCGCCGGGGACCCUGGGGGUGGCGGGACGGGUGAUGCCGGGGGCAGGUGUGUCUGUGCCCCUGAGUCCGGGGCAGCCCCGGCCAAGCUGCCCCGCCUCCAGGCACCGCCCCAGGCCGAGCCGCAUCACUCAGCCCCCAGUACCCCUCGGACCCUCACAGAGCCGUGCAGGAGGGUGGAACCCGCCACCCGCCCGGGGGCAGGAGCAGGACACGGGCCGGGCGGGCAGAGGGGUGGAAACGGGGAGGCCGGAAGGGGAGAAGCGGAGGUAGGCGGGGGCGGGCGGGCCAGACGGUCAGCAUGGCCCGGGGCCCCCGGGACCCUGCAGAGGCCACUGGGGCUGGGGUCCAGGUGCUGAGAUGGAAGAAUUCAAGGCAAACUGAGGCUCCGCAGACGGGCGGAGAGCACAGCGGGCACGAGGGAGCCGAGCACAGGGGCAGGAGUAACCCUGAGUAUGGGCUGGCCCCGCCCUAACGGCCCUAAACGGAGUCAUGGAGUAAGCGGCAAGCGCAGACUGACCCGAGGGAGUGGCCCAGAGUCCACCAGACACAACGGGCGAGGGCUGGGGGAUGGAUGCAAACGCCUCGUCUGAGUGCCCCGAAGCUCCCCCAGGAACCCAGCAGGGGCCCCACACGGGUGCUCUCUGCCCGGUGCUCCGGCCCAGCACCCGCCCGCCUGGUAAACAGCGACUUGAAACGCUUUGGAGUCCAGCAGACGCACGAGACGCUCAGCAAAGACACCGCAUGUUUUCAGGGGAAAGAAACCACCCCACACUCUGGUACCGUAAUGCUUAUUAGCAGGAAAUUAAAAACCCAGGGCUGCAAUGACGCGGAGCCACUGGUGCUUAGUACCCGGCGAUUACGGAGCCCGGGGCGGCACGCGGGCUCGGUUAUUUAAUUAGAGCCGGGGCUGCGUCUCCGUCCAACUCCCAGGGAUGGGCACGGAGGGAAGAAAAGGAGAAAUGGCAGCAGGUCAGGGCUGGGGACCCGGGCACGCGCCCCGACCCGGCACGGGGCCGAGGAACGUCAGCCUCCUGCAGGGCCCAGGGUGGGAUGCGUCUGGCCGGGGAGAGGCUCGGCCACCCUCCCCGUGUGUCAGCGCGAGCCGGGUCUGCAGGACAGUCCGAAUGCUCCUCCUCGGGACACCAGCACUGAGAGGGCGGGCGGGCUGGCCCCGCUCCUCGCUGGAGAGCCCCACCCCUCCCUCCUCCGCAGGACCCAGCGCCAGAGACAGCGGCAGCUCG